UUGCAUAUCAAUAAGCGGAGGAAAAGAAACCAACAGGGAUUGCCUUAGUAGCGGCGAGUGAAGCGGCAAUAGCUCAAAUUUGAAAUCUGCCAACAGGCCGAGUUGUAAUUUGAAGAAAGCAAUUCUGGAUGUGUCUUUGCUCAAGUUCCUUGGAAUAGGACAUCAUGGAGGGUGAGAAUCCCGUGAUGCGAAGGUAGCACGUCUAUGUAGAAUG
rnacentral:rRNA from 1 species